rnacentral:rRNA from 1 species
UACGAAGGGGGCUAGCGUUGCUCGGAAUCACUGGGCGUAAAGGGUGCGUAGGCGGCUUUGUAAGUUAGAGGUGAAAGCCCGGAGCUCAACUCCGGAACUGCCUUUAAAACUGCAUCGCUUGAAUCCAGGAGAGGUGAGUGGAAUUCCGAGUGUAGAGGUGAAAUUCGUAGAUAUUCGGAAGAACACCAGUGGCGAAGGCGGCUCACUGGACUGGUAUUGACGCUGAGGUGCGAAAGCGUGGGGAGCAAACAGG